rnacentral:rRNA from 1 species
AGUGAACGCUGGCGGUAGGCCUAACACAUGCAAGUCGAACGGCAGCACAGUAAGAGCUUGCUCUUACGGGUGGCGAGUGGCGGACGGGUGAGGAAUACAUCGGAAUCUACUUUUUCGUGGGGGAUAACGUAGGGAAACUUACGCUAAUACCGCAUACGACCUACGGGUGAAAGCAGGGGAUCUUCGGACCUUGCGCGAUUGAAUGAGCCGAUGUCGGAUUAGCUAGUUGGCGGGGUAAAGGCCCACCAAGGCGACGAUCCGUAGCUGGUCUGAGAGGAUGAUCAGCCACACUGGAACUGAGACACGGUCCAGACUCCUACGGUAGGCAGCAGUGGGGAAUAUUGGACAAUGGGCGCAAGCCUGAUCCAGCCAGACCGCGUGGGUGAAGAAGGCCUUCGGGUUGUAAAGCCCUUUUGUUGGGAAAGAAAAGCAGCAGGUUAAUACCCCGCUGUUCUGACGGUACCCAAAGAAUAAGCACCGGCUAACUUCGUG